rnacentral:misc_RNA from 1 species
GAACAAAACUCUCUCAUUGUUUCAAUUAAUUUCCAGUUUGCCCUUAUCAUCCAUUGCCAAUCUCCCUGCCAAAUGGUAAAAUAGUACAAGAACUUUGCUCUAAGCAUCUUUAAUAGAAAUACAAAAACAAACAUAAAAAACAUAAGAAAUCAAGAGCAAAGGAAAAUAAAAGUGAUAUGAGAAAGGGAGGGAGGAGCUGUCACCAAAACUUGACCGAGCAACAAUUGUUCAAGUUAAGCCCUUGCUCUCAAAUGCGAGAGUUGCCAAUUAGGCCUAUUUUGUCAGAAAUCAAGCCAUAAAAUAGCUUUUCAAAGGAUGGGAUAUGGUGGGUUUCUAAGCAAAUGAGCAAUAACAAACUCCCAUCUUUGUUUGGACUUGAUACUAUAUGUCCCUUGCCUUCCCAUGGAUUUGUAGCCCUCAUAUACAC